rnacentral:lncRNA from 1 species
AGCAGAACACAGAAGUGGUUCCUCUCUGUGCCCCAACACUGCUUCAGUCCAGUUAUUCCUGUUAAUUAUACAGCAAGAUGGAGGAGAGGAGAAGAGGCUGCUGGAAGGGCAGGGUGGCCGGAGCAGCAGGCUCACUUAUGAGCAGUUGAGCUUUAUAAGAGAAGUCCAUGUUGGGCUCUAACGUAGAUACGGGUCAGACGGCAGACAGAGGUCUGUAUUUAGGUUUGUAUCAAUUUCUACACAUUACAUCUUGUCCUUUCUCUUAAUCUUGCAGAUUUUGGAGGGAGAUGUAAGCUCUGCAACUUGGUGGUGUUGCUGUUUGCUGCUGUGGUAACACCCUGCACUUCCAGGUUGGGCACUAGCCUGUGCCCCAGAUUUCUUCCAUCUGUUCAGUAAUACAGUUUCACUGUUGGAGAGAUUCACAGCAAAAUCUGUAAUUCUUUUCAAAUUCGAACUGGGCCCAUGGAAAGCUCUAAUCUAAAAUACCUUUCUCUGCACCCCAUGUGUGGGUUCUAAACUGGAGGUUAGCCCACCAUGUGGGCUUACUUGCUCUCAUUCUCACAAAUGUCUAAUUUUUUCCUAAACUUUGAAAUUUGAUGUUGUGUCUAAAGGCCACAUAUCUAAUGUGUGUUCAGGUUUUCUAUAGGCUAACAGGUUACUUCGGUCAGUGAUGCCUGUAGGACAGUGAUUGAGAUGCUACUCAAAUGUAUUUGGAAGUUCUGAUGAAAUGAUUUAAGCAAUAACAUCACCCACCUGAGAUCACUGGUUUUGCUGAUUCUUUCUCCUUGAAAGUGCUAUGACUACAGUUAGGAAGGACCAACAGUAACUUAUCUGCAAGUGAAGGGUGAAACAGUGAAAUGAUUUAAUUCUUGAGCAGCACAGACUGCAAAAGGAGGCAAAGACUUGCAAUGACUGUCCAUCUCCACCUGCUGAACAGGUGCAGCAGGCAAAGGUCAGAACAACUCCUGUUAAGCAUUACCAAGAAAUAUUCUUAUACUUGGAUAUGGUGAGUAGAAAUAUUGUUACUGGUUUGUCAUGUGAUUGAAUCAAAUAGGAAAU